UACGUAGGCAGCAAGCGUUGUUCGGAGUUACUGGGCGUAAAGCGCGCGCAGGCGGCACCACAAGUACCGUAUGAAAUCUCCUUGCUCAACGAGGAGGGUAUAAGGUAGACUGUGGAGCUAGAGGAGGGUAGAGGGGGGUAGAAUUGCUGGUGUAGCGGUGAAAUGCGUAGAGAUCAGCAGGAAUACCCGUGGCGAAGGCGGCCCCCUGGGCCCUACCUGACGCUGAGGCGCGAAGGCUAGGGGAGCGAACGGG
rnacentral:rRNA from 1 species